GACGAACGCUGGCGGCGUGCUUAACACAUGCAAGUCGAACGGAAAGGCCCCUUUGGGGGUACUCGAGUGGCGAACGGGUGAGUAACACGUGAGUAACCUGCCCUUGACUUCGGGAUAACUUCAGGAAACUGGGGCUAAUACCGGAUAGGAAUCCUUGCUGCAUGGUGGGGGUUGGAAAGCUUCGGCGGUUUUGGAUGGACUCGCGGCUUAUCAGCUUGUUGGUGGGGUAGUGGCUUACCAAGGCUUUGACGGGUAGCCGGCCUGAGAGGGCGACCGGCCACAUUGGGACUGAGAUACGGUCCAGACUCCUACGAGAGGCAGCAGUGGGGAAUAUUGCACAAUGGGCGGAAGCCUGAUGCAGCAACGCCGCGUGCGGGAUGACGGCCUUCGGGUUGUAAACCGCUUUCAGCAGGGGCGAAGCUUGUGGUGACGGUACCUGCAGAAGAAGCACCGGCUAACUACGUG
rnacentral:rRNA from 1 species